ensembl:lncRNA
AAUGCGAUGGGUUAUUUGGGGCACAUUUCGAGCGCGCUUUACCUCCGGAAGAGAGAAGAACAUUGGUACUUUCCGGGUCCUCAUCGCGCUCAUUCUCUUCAUCGACCGUCAGAGCGUCAUACCUUCGCAGAAAAGUUAUUGUUUUUAUUGAUAUCAGCGCUACUCUCGGCUCCAUCAUGGGUAAAAAGUCUAUCAGAGACUGUCGUGAUUUCGGACUGGAGUUUUACGUGUAUUUAGAGGAGACGGGGCGCACGCACAUCACAGAAAGGCAUUUACUCCAGAGCAUUUACAAGGAAGAGUUCAGAAACGAAAGGCCUGGGUUUCCAUUUGGCUCAAUCCUCUACGGACUGUCUUGUUUUGGGAAAGUGAAAGUGAAGCAUGGCAUCAACAUAUUUUUUUUGCCAAAGAUACACAACAUGAAGUGGAGUCAGCCUUCAAGUUAGAACCAUGAUCUCUUUGCACUAAGGUUCCCCCUGGUCCAGACAGUCUUCCCCAGUGGCAUUGAAGGAUGGUCAAAAUGAGGAUAGAAAUAUUAGUAAGCUAUUAUAUGAAACAGUGAUAUGAAUAAUAAUGCCAUUCCCUGUUUCUGCUGUUGGUAAGUCACAAAUCAUGCAGUCCUAGAUAAGGUUUAUGUUUCAUCAGACCCAC